ACAAAGCUUUGGUUAGAUUUAUGCUACUUUUUCUGGGUUUCUCUUAUCUUCUUCUUUCCUGUGUUGCUGUUCCCACAACCAGAAGCCUCAAAUAAAACAAGGAACUGCCGUCUUCUGUUCAAGAUUUACUUGCUCACGAUGUAAUGAAAUUGAAUGAUGCUAAGGAGUUGUUGGGGGAAUCUGAUGCAUUCACUGGAUAAAGGUUGUUAAUGGAGAGCGCUUAUUAUCCAAGGUCAAGUGCAAACAAGAACCAUGACCCCAAAACUCUAGGGAGAGCUUAAAAAGA